CUCUGGAAACUCGCUUGGCUCCUUCUUCCUCUACAAACUCUCCAAGUCGAAAACUAGACCCUUUCUCUCUAAAAACUCGCUCGCUCAGCUAAGGGGAGGGGAGCUUCGGCUCCUUCUUCCUCUUCCUAUCCUCCCUCUCCUCGUCGGCCCUUAGUUUCCGGUGGUUUUGUUUGGUUUUUUUUGUUUUUUGUUUUUUUUUUUCAAGUUUUCAACCGAAUAAAAGGGGUAGCCGUUUCGAACUUCUCUAGCAACCAUUGUCCGACAAGUGCCCCACUGGGAGAAGUUUCACCCGCCAAUCUUGCGGUCGACCGAAUUGGGAGCCAAUCGGAGCACGGUUUAAAGGAAACGCAUGGGGUUCUCAAACUACUGAGAUUUUCAAGAUUUGAUUUUAAGAGCGAAGGUCUUUUUUUCUUGUUGGUGCUGUGUGGGGACUGGAUAUGCUUUACUUUUUUGCUUCAUCCCAACCAUGGAUCCCGAGGAGAAGCGGCUCAAUGAGCUGGGUUACAAGCAAGAACUCCAAAGAUAAAUGGAUCACAAACACUAAAGAGCAUCAUUUUAUUAUGCACUGAAACAAAUAAGGAUGGAGGAUAUCUUGCUCCAAAGUGGUUAUUCUUAUGCAUGUACAUAGGCCUGACUAUUAUUUGGGCAUUUCUCAACACUUUUGCAUUACAAGUGAUUGCCUUCACCGACAUAAUCUGAAUAUGGUGGCAGCUCUCACUCCCAUUGCUACUAAACUUGGAUUGCCUUUCCUUGUUGUUCAUGCUUUCAUGGGUAUCGGUAAGGUUGUUAGAUUGUGAUGUUAUUGGGAUUUCUGGUUGCUGACCACAGCUGGUGCUGGGCUUUGGCUCGUUGGUGAAGAAUUGAUUAAAGUGUUCGGCGUUCAUUUUUGGCAGUGUUCGGUGUUCAUCUUUGUUUCCUUCUGAAUAUUUUCUCCCAUUACAGGCAUAUAGUUUUCCUAUUGAGGAUCCUAAGCUGUUGUCUGAAGAGAAGAAAUUGAUCCUUUCCAACAGCAUUUCCAAGGAACCUGUUAAAACAAUACAUUGGGAACUAAUUUUGUCAAAACCACAUGUAUGGGCCCUAAUAGUGUCUCACUUCUGUCACAAUUGGGGAACAUUUGUUCUUCUAAAUUGGGCAAGAUACAGUGAAGAUGCUUACAUGAGACUUAUUUAAUACACCAUUAAUAGCCUUAAUCUUGCCUUUUAUUUUCUGGAUGUUGGUUUUCUUGUUAUACACUUGUAAAACCAUGCUUGUUAGUUAAGGAUUGUGGUAGUCUCAGCUUCACCAA